CAGGGCCUUAAUUUCUUCGGGAUGAUCAAUGCAGUACUACAUAUGCUCUUUCAAAUUUGGCCUACAAUAACACAGUGUUUGGCAAAGCCCACAAAAACUGAAAAGUGACUUAUAAAUGGUGAAAAAGCAAUUACGCGAAGAAAAAUGCUUAAAUAUCCAAGUUAUAUAAAUCUUAGAUUAGAUGCCAUCUAAAUGACAAGAAUUAUGGACUUCAAAAACAAUAAAAAAACAAAAAUUCUGCAAUUUUAUUCAUCUUAGUUAACCCUUCUGUACAAUUUAAAUAAAUAAAGAUUUGAAAUGGAAAUAAUGCGACUUCUCUUCUUAAGAUGCCAACGACAUACCACAAUAUACAAUGGUAUGUCAAGCGCUCUAUGGAGCUGAUAGGCCCUGAUAUGUGUAGCUCUGCUGCACAACAUCAAGAUUUAUUUACAUAAUUAGUAGUUUGUUAGGAAACUAAACUGAGAAAUUUAAGGGAAAGGCUACAUGCCAAGCAAUAUAUAAAUACAACAAUACAAUACAAAUCGGGUUCCUAUCAGAAGCUUAUGAAAAUAAAUCUAUAUAUUCGAUCUAGAAAUGAAUCAACAUAACAUUCUUCAUUUUAGGUCUAAAUUCUUCGCUUUUGAGAAAUAACACAUCAGGACAAUGCAGUCAAUCAAACGUAAAAUCUAUACUUUCUUGUUUUAUUGUCACAAGAAUAAAAGUUGACUACUCUCCAACCAAAUUGAUUAAAACAAAAACGAUUGAGAAAAAAAACAGAAAGAAAAAGAAUGUCAAUACCAUUUCAACCAUAAGAAUUCAUGUAAUGAGAAAACAACCGAAGUACAGAUCGAUUCGAGUACUUCAGUAUGGCUCAAAUAAACAAUUCAUCUCAAAUGACACUAGAAGGUGCUAGGUGCCUGCAAAAUUUGAAAAAGAAAUGAAUUAUAGACAGAACUCUAUUAUUUCAUUAAAAUUUCUCAACUUCUUUAAAUCAUUACUCAAUCCACUGAUAUACAAGAUGAAGACGCCCACACAAACAUAUAUGUAUUUGCCCGUUUCGAUAAAAGCAAACGUGAGCGUUUCAUUCCACGUUUCAACCACAUACGUAUUAAAUCCACAAGUGAUUGCAUAAAUUUCAUCACUUUCGAGCUCUGAAACCCAAGCAUACACAUUACAAUUAUCAAAUAAAAUCACACAUUCAUAUGCCACACUAAUGAAACCUAUUCCAUAUACAUACAUCUUUCUUUACUACACUUGAAUUUUUUCAUAAUCAUUUCCAGUUCUACAUAAUAAACGCAUAAUAACAUAAGACAAAAGGAAAAUAAGAU
rnacentral:lncRNA from 1 species